AUGAUGCGAUGAUGAUGACUGGAAACGUAGGAAUCAAGGAUAAAAAAAUAUGUGUCUGAAACUCUGAGGUCCCA
ensembl:snoRNA